UCGAGAAUUUUUCUCAAUGGGGGAAACCCUGAAGGAGCGACGCCGCGUGGAGGAUGAAGGUCUUCGGAUUGUAAACUCCUGUCAUUUGGGAACAAGGCUGUGCGGUUAACUGCCGCGCAGUUGAUAGUACCAGAAGAGGAAGAGACGGCUAACUCUGUGCCAGCAGCCGCGGUAAUACAGAGGUCUCAAGCGUUGUUCGGAUUCAUUGGGCGUAAAGGGUGCGUAGGCGGCGCGGUAAGUCGGGUGUGAAAUUUCGAGGCUUAACUUCGAAACUGCAUUCGAUACUGCCGUGCUUGAGGACUGGAGAGGAGACUGGAAUUUACGGUGUAGCGGUGAAAUGCGUAGAUAUCGUAAGGAAGACCAGUGGCGAAGGCGGGUCUCUGGACAGUUCCUGACGCUGAGGCACGAAGGCCAGGGGAGCAAACGG
rnacentral:rRNA from 1 species